AUAAAUCGCAAACUCCGAGCCCGGCUGCCUAAACCGCCGCGGCGGCACGGCAGCAGGCCGACAGGGUGCGGCGGGAAACUGCUGCGCCUCCCGCUAUGGAAAGGAGUGAGUUGAAAGGAGGU
rnacentral:ncRNA from 2 species